UCUUUCAAUAGGAUUUUGAACUCUUUAUUUUCUCAAUUAUAUUUGAUACUGAUGCAUCCCUUUCGUGUUCUGUUGUAGGAAUUUAACUCACAGGAUAGUUUCAUUCCAUUCGGUGGAAGCAAGGCAAUAAACUAAUUUGUGGAUUUCCAGUGGUUGCUUUUAUGACAAACUUGCCUUCUAAACCUUCCUCGGGACUUUUGAGCCACAAUUUCUUGCCCGAUAUCCAAACUAAGCUACUGAUUUGUAAUUGUAAACUGAUGCUGAAAUUUAUCUUCUUUGGGACAAGCUCAUAGCCAUGUCUCUUAAGAAAGAUUUCUGAAGCUUUUUAUUAGGCCAAACAAUGUAGAGCUGUUAACGAUUUGCAUGUAAUCUUUCAUGUUGGAGGGAACUUCUAAGUUCUAUCUUCUGUGAGUAUGUUGUUGCAUACAAUCAUCUGGUCUGAUUUUACAAGGUCUGUUCUGAUGUUAUUGAACCCACGAGGUAGAACUCCCCCUUAAAAACUUGCUAUCCAGGGAAGGGUGCCUUGGGUUUAAUAAACCACCCUCUAAGCCGAUACCUAACCGAUUAUGUUAAUGUUUUCUGGAUGUUGAAUUUUAGCAUCUUGACAAAGCAUGUAGGUCCAAGCUAGUCUGGCAAUUUUCUUCAUUUAGACCUCUUCGCAUCUUAGUAUGGGAUAAGGAUAGGAAAAGCACAAGUGUCAUGGAUCCCAACGGUAGACCGAAUGCCGUGUGGACCACCAAAAUUCGAAGAAGCAUAAAAGAACCAAUGAAAUGAGCCGAUAAGAGCUGCAAUAAUUAGAGAACUGAAGCAUACAUGUCACGAAUUUGUGAAGCCCCAACAGAUCAUACAAGUUGGCUUUUAUUAUGGGCGUGUUUAUUAUAAGCUGGUAAUUAAGAUUGCUCUAGAGCUUGCCGGCUUCUUGUUCAUGUACUGCAUCAUUGGUUGUGUCUGUGGGGAAGCUGGGUAAGGAGCCAACACCCAUUCUGCCAGUUACCUAGGCUGGCAGCUUUGGCAGCAUGUUUUAAAGGGUGAGUGCACAUUUGCCUUUGCACAAGGAGUAGGGCACCUGCUCGAAUUCUAGACCAAAAACACGGUAAUUGGGCCAGCAUUUGUUGCUAAAAAGAGUUCAAUGCAUGCACGCAUGAAACAGACAGGACCACCGGCCACAACAUCCCUCGGUCCCGCCCACUGCCGCAGAAGCCCCUCGUGUUAUACAAAAAUAAUAUGGACUAUACUAUGUGUCAAUAAUAACGUGCAUUUCAUCUAUCAAACAUUGAAUUCGGAUGAAAAGUACAAUUGUAAUGACAUCAUAACAGUCAAAUUGUGUUAUAGAUGGUGGGUGGGAACCGGAAAGCAACUGUCCCAUGCAUAACAUAUGAUACGAAUAUUAAUUCAUUAUAUACUUUUUGUUAUCACAUACAUAGUACAUAUAACAUUUAUCAUGUUUUCUCUCAAAUGUAAUGUAUGUGAUAUUAUAUGAUGGUAACCUGAACUGAGUGCUAGCACUGUAUUCAGAAAUCAGAAUAAUGGUCGGCUGACUACAAAGCCGAAUCUAAAUCUUUGUCUUGGUAGCACCCUAAUGCUUGCAUAAUUCAAAUCGUUUGGCAUAAAACCAUUCAUCACCAAACCCUAACUGCCAAGCACUUGUUGUCUCAAAUAUAGAAGGAACUUAAAUUUCAAAACAAAUUAAACGACAUAAAAUUGAAUAUUUGUAGUUUUUUAAUAUGUAGUGAUACAGUCCAAUUGUACACAUGUUGAGUAGACAGGGAUUUAAAGUCAGCAUCAAUUGGUUUUGUAACAACCCAGCACAGAAUUAUGCGUUCAAUUUCACAUUUAUUUUGAAAAGAGACAGACCCACCAUCUUACUUGUAGUGUAGGAAAAUAUAAAAACAAUUGGAGCAAAUUUCGCAAAUUAAACUUCGGGGGGGUCCUACUAAAAUAAAUUUUUGCCCACUUAGAGAAGAUCAGUCUCCAUUUUUUUUUUUUUUUAAGUUUUCGUUACUCCUCCAUUAUUUGCGAUGCCGCAUUUUUUUAUUUAUUAGACAAAAUUUCUUUGGGCGAUAUUGGGCAAGAUUCAUAAACCAACCCAAUAAGGCUGUUUUUGAUUGACAUUAAGGUAUUUAUUAGAUACUGCGGUACAGUGGCUGAUUAUUCAAUUUAAGACACACUUUUAAACAUAAUUACACACAUAAUACAUAAAUAUAAAAUAAAUUUAUUCAAGUCAAUUAAGAAAUAGAGUAUGCCCAUUUAAAAUUGAGAAAUUUAAUUAAUUGACGCGGGAGUGCAAUUAUUGUCAUUUUCUGUUAGAUUUAGGUGGCGUUUGUUUUUUUAUCUGAAAUCUGAAUAGACCUGAAUCAGUAUGAAUUCUGAAUAGGUCUGAAUGUCUGAAUCUGAAUAAUAUGUUUGUUUUUUUGUUUGAAUCUCAGAAAAUAAGUAUUAAGUUGUUUGUUUUUUUCAACUUAAAAAACUAAAAAUAUGUACUUUUACAUUUGUAUCCUUAUUAAAUUUGAAUGUCAAAUAAAUAAUAUAUUAAAUACCACAAUAUUUUUAAUAUUUAUAAGUAAAACUAUAUUCAAGCGAAUACAUAAUUAUUUUAAAAUUUUAAUAUAUAAAAUACCAUAAAUUUCAAAUUUUAUCGUAUAUAAUAUAAGAAAGAAAAAACAUGGAUAUUUUUAUGUGGGGUAAAUAUCUAUGGGUGAGUUUUGGGAUAGACAUAAAAAAUAAAUUAUAAAACAUGGAUAUUUUUUACAUUAGCAAGUAAUUGACUUAAUUCAGAUUUCUCCAUUAAGUAAAAAGCCAAAAAAAUUAGAGCUUAUUUUAUUAAGUCAAAAUUAUCUAAAAAAUUUCAUUAAGUUAUAAAAACAAAUGCCUCUAAUUAAGUUAAUUAAUUAAGUUAAGUCACUUUAAGUCAUUAAGUUAAAAAACAAACGCCACCUUAGGCUCGAAAAUGGCUAAGGUUAUAAAAAAAAAAUAUGGACACUGCUGUACCGUACAUCCGCCUUGGCCGUACAGCAGAUUAUCUUCACUAAAUUUGUUUUCAAAAAUUCAAAAAUUUUAGGUGUUAAGCAAGAUGGAAGUGCAGCACACUUCUUUUAUAGAGCUAUCAAGGCUUACAGUACUGGAACUCGAAAGCGUAGAAAGAUAAAUGGUGAUGAUUUUGGUGAGGUGCGCUGGCACAAGACUGGCAGGACUAAACCAGUGAUGUUAGAUGGGGUUCAAAAAGGGUGUAAGAAGAUUAUGGUUCUCUAUAUGAGCAUGGUCAGGGGAGGGAAACCUGAGAAAACUAAUUGGGUGAUGCACCAGUAUCACUUGGGAACAGAGGAGGAUGAAAAGGAUGACAACUAUGUUAUAUCUAAAAUAUUUUAUCAGCAGCAACAGGCCAAGUAUGGUGAUAAAAUUGAACAAGAUAUUCUUGAAAGCACUGGUGCCAUCAUUCCAAAAGUAGAUCCAGUCACUCCUAAGUCAGUGACUCCAGACCCACCUCGUACUGAAAGGCAUCCUGAUUUUGGCCCACGACAAGAGUCUCCUACUACAGAUGCAUUUGAUCAGGUACAAUUCUCUAUCUGACUAGUAGUGUGAAAUCAGCUGCUUUCUUUCAUGACUUAAUUCAUAUUGAACAAUCUAGAAUUUUUGGCUACAUUUCAUAAUGGCAACAAUUUAAAUUAAUAAAAAAUGAAAAAUAGAAGCUAUUGAAAGUAUCUUCUCUUUACAUUUAUACACGUCCUCUGUUGGAAGGAAAUCCUGACAGUUGUUUUUUUUCCUGGCUUCUUCUCCUCCUUAUACUUUUCCUCAUAAUGGAAGCAAUCUGAGAUAAGGCAUGUGGAAGAGGUUCAACCUUUAUGUGAAAACCCCGGUUCUAAUGAUAAAAUCGAAGCAGAAAAUCAUGCUAAUAUGAUGGUUGGUAAUAAUGAUAAUGGAAGUCAAGCAGGAGACGACCGCAAAUGGUGGGACAGUGAAUCGCAGAAUGGCUUAUCGCAGAAUAUCUUGGAUACGCAACAACUAGCAGAAGCGCUGACUCUAUGCGAGGAGUUCUUGAACAGCCAGUCUGAUGGAAAUGCGAAUGAUGGAACAUCAAAGGGAAAACCUGGUCUUUCUGAUUAUGCUCGGUUAGGAUCUGAACAUUUGAAGAAGGAUUUGGAGGAGUGUCAGAUGCUAGUCCAUGAUCCUGCAAACAUCGAACUCGAUACACCUCCAGAAUUUGGACUGAGCCAGCUUGUAUGUCCUGUUUUAUGCCAUUUCACUACUCUUUCAAUAGGAUUUUGAACUCUUUAUUUUCUCAAUUAUAUUUGAUACUGAUGCAUCCCUUUCGUGUUCUGUUGUAGGAAUUUAACUCACAGGAUAGUUUCAUUCCAUUCGGUGGAAGCAAGGCAAUAAACUAAUUUGUGGAUUUCCAGUGGUUGCUUUUAUGACAAACUUGCCUUCUAAACCUUCCUCGGGACUUUUGAGCCACAAUUUCUUGCCCGAUAUCCAAACUAAGCUACUGAUUUGUAAUUGUAAACUGAUGCUGAAAUUUAUCUUCUUUGGGACAAGCUCAUAGCCAUGUCUCUUAAGAAAGAUUUCUGAAGCUUUUUAUUAGGCCAAACAAUGUAGAGCUGUUAACGAUUUGCAUGUAAUCUUUCAUGUUGGAGGGAACUUCUAAGUUCUAUCUUCUGUGAGUAUGUUGUUGCAUACAAUCAUCUGGUCUGAUUUUACAAGGUCUGUUCUGAUGUUAUUGAACCCACGAGGUAGAACUCCCCCUUAAAAACUUGCUAUCCAGGGAAGGGUGCCUUGGGUUUAAUAAACCACCCUCUAAGCCGAUACCUAACCGAUUAUGUUAAUGUUUUCUGGAUGUUGAAUUUUAGCAUCUUGACAAAGCAUGUAGGUCCAAGCUAGUCUGGCAAUUUUCUUCAUUUAGACCUCUUCGCAUCUUAGUAUGGGAUAAGGAUAGGAAAAGCACAAGUGUCAUGGAUCCCAACGGUAGACCGAAUGCCGUGUGGACCACCAAAAUUCGAAGAAGCAUAAAAGAACCAAUGAAAUGAGCCGAUAAGAGCUGCAAUAAUUAGAGAACUGAAGCAUACAUGUCACGAAUUUGUGAAGCCCCAACAGAUCAUACAAGUUGGCUUUUAUUAUGGGCGUGUUUAUUAUAAGCUGGUAAUUAAGAUUGCUCUAGAGCUUGCCGGCUUCUUGUUCAUGUACUGCAUCAUUGGUUGUGUCUGUGGGGAAGCUGGGUAAGGAGCCAACACCCAUUCUGCCAGUUACCUAGGCUGGCAGCUUUGGCAGCAUGUUUUAAAGGGUGAGUGCACAUUUGCCUUUGCACAAGGAGUAGGGCACCUGCUCGAAUUCUAGACCAAAAACACGGUAAUUGGGCCAGCAUUUGUUGCUAAAAAGAGUUCAAUGCAUGCACGCAUGAAACAGACAGGACCACCGGCCACAACAUCCCUCGGUCCCGCCCACUGCCGCAGAAGCCCCUCGUGUUAUACAAAAAUAAUAUGGACUAUACUAUGUGUCAAUAAUAACGUGCAUUUCAUCUAUCAAACAUUGAAUUCGGAUGAAAAGUACAAUUGUAAUGACAUCAUAACAGUCAAAUUGUGUUAUAGAUGGUGGGUGGGAACCGGAAAGCAACUGUCCCAUGCAUAACAUAUGAUACGAAUAUUAAUUCAUUAUAUACUUUUUGUUAUCACAUACAUAGUACAUAUAACAUUUAUCAUGUUUUCUCUCAAAUGUAAUGUAUGUGAUAUUAUAUGAUGGUAACCUGAACUGAGUGCUAGCACUGUAUUCAGAAAUCAGAAUAAUGGUCGGCUGACUACAAAGCCGAAUCUAAAUCUUUGUCUUGGUAGCACCCUAAUGCUUGCAUAAUUCAAAUCGUUUGGCAUAAAACCAUUCAUCACCAAACCCUAACUGCCAAGCACUUGUUGUCUCAAAUAUAGAAGGAACUUAAAUUUCAAAACAAAUUAAACGACAUAAAAUUGAAUAUUUGUAGUUUUUUAAUAUGUAGUGAUACAGUCCAAUUGUACACAUGUUGAGUAGACAGGGAUUUAAAGUCAGCAUCAAUUGGUUUUGUAACAACCCAGCACAGAAUUAUGCGUUCAAUUUCACAUUUAUUUUGAAAAGAGACAGACCCACCAUCUUACUUGUAGUGUAGGAAAAUAUAAAAACAAUUGGAGCAAAUUUCGCAAAUUAAACUUCGGGGGGGUCCUACUAAAAUAAAUUUUUGCCCACUUAGAGAAGAUCAGUCUCCAUUUUUUUUUUUUUUUAAGUUUUCGUUACUCCUCCAUUAUUUGCGAUGCCGCAUUUUUUUAUUUAUUAGACAAAAUUUCUUUGGGCGAUAUUGGGCAAGAUUCAUAAACCAACCCAAUAAGGCUGUUUUUGAUUGACAUUAAGGUAUUUAUUAGAUACUGCGGUACAGUGGCUGAUUAUUCAAUUUAAGACACACUUUUAAACAUAAUUACACACAUAAUACAUAAAUAUAAAAUAAAUUUAUUCAAGUCAAUUAAGAAAUAGAGUAUGCCCAUUUAAAAUUGAGAAAUUUAAUUAAUUGACGCGGGAGUGCAAUUAUUGUCAUUUUCUGUUAGAUUUAGGUGGCGUUUGUUUUUUUAUCUGAAAUCUGAAUAGACCUGAAUCAGUAUGAAUUCUGAAUAGGUCUGAAUGUCUGAAUCUGAAUAAUAUGUUUGUUUUUUUGUUUGAAUCUCAGAAAAUAAGUAUUAAGUUGUUUGUUUUUUUCAACUUAAAAAACUAAAAAUAUGUACUUUUACAUUUGUAUCCUUAUUAAAUUUGAAUGUCAAAUAAAUAAUAUAUUAAAUACCACAAUAUUUUUAAUAUUUAUAAGUAAAACUAUAUUCAAGCGAAUACAUAAUUAUUUUAAAAUUUUAAUAUAUAAAAUACCAUAAAUUUCAAAUUUUAUCGUAUAUAAUAUAAGAAAGAAAAAACAUUGAUAUUUUUAUGUGGGGUAAAUAUCUAUGGGUGAGUUUUGGGAUAGACAUAAAAAAUAAAUUAUAAAACAUGGAUAUUUUUUACAUUAGCAAGUAAUUGACUUAAUUCAGAUUUCUCCAUUAAGUAAAAAGCCAAAAAAAUUAGUUUAUUUUAUUAAGUCAAAAUUAUCUAAAAAGUCUCAUUAAGUUAUAAAAAUAAAAACCUCUAAUUAACUUAAUUAAUUAAGUUAAGUCACUUUAAGUCAUUAAGUUAAAAAAUAAACGGCACAUUACUGUCGUUUAACUAUAAGAGUCAUGUUGGGAUUGUCCCUUGAGCAUUUCUUAUUAGAUUUUUUUAAUUAUUAUCAUUAUUAUUAUUAUAAACUCAUAUAAUUCAAUCAAGCUCGAACCCAAAUCCUGAGAAGCUGAGACCUAGAAAAAUAUUUCUUUACUAGUAGAUUUAGGCUUUGACUUCCUCAUCAGGUCACUUCGAAAAUACAUUUUAAUUUAACGCACGUAAUUUUAGGAAUAAACCAUGUGAAAAUAAGGGCAAUUUUUAAAAACCUCUCUUGAGGUUUGGACUUGUUGCAAGUAAAUGACGAGAAUCUAUUUAUUUAUAAAAAAUCUCCUACCGUCAGUUAAUUUUUAUAUUGACCGUUAGUUGAUUGUGCAAAGACAAUAUUGUCCUUAACAAUAAUUUGUAGACUGAUACAACUAAAAAAAACUAAAAUUAUUGGCGCGAAAAUGACAAACUCUAUUUUUUUGAUAAUUUUAUCCCUGUCAAUUCCAAAUAUUUACAAUAUCAUAGGUAAGGAUUAUGACUAUUUUACUCUCUUUAAAUUAUUGAUAUUUCCUUAAAGUUCCUACAAGAAAGAUAAAAUUAAAAACUUGAAAAAAAAUAAAGAGGGUGUUGCAUUAUGACCGUUACAAACCAACACCCUCUUUAUUUUUUUUCAAGUUUUUAAUUUUAUCUUUCUUUUAGGAACUUUAAGGAAAUAUCAAUAAUUUAAAGAGGGUAAAAUAGUCAUAAUCCUUACUUAUGAUAUUGUAAAUCUUUAGAAUUGACAGGGAUAAAAUUAUUAAAAAAAUAGGGUUUGUCAUUUUUGCGCCAACAAUUUUAAUUUUUUUUAGUUGUGUCAGUCUACAAACUGUUGUUAAAGGUAAUAUUAUCUUUGCACAGUCAACUAACGGUCAAUGUAAAAAUUAAUUGAUGGUAGAGAAUUUUUAAUAAAUAAACGAAUUCUCACUAUCUACUUGCAACAAACCUAAACUUCAAUAGAAGUUUUUAAAAAUUACCCGUGAAAAUAAUCGUAUUCACCUAAAAGAAUUUAACGACCAGAUAGAUAUAUUGAAUUUGAAUCCUGCAAAUAAUUGAUGACAGAGGUUCGGGGUCCCCUCUUGGCUCUUAUUCCGUUAGAGGAGGAAUCGGACACAUGGUGGGGUUGUGGAUUAGGAGGCGCACGUGGGCUUUAUUUAUUUAUUUUUUUCAAAAAAAGAGGCUCAUUUGACCUAUCACGUUCUGUCGUGUGUCCUGUCCUCUUCCUAUCUUCAUCAAUUUCCUACGUGGCCGACAACAGAAUAUUACUUCGCAGUUUCAGCCUCUGUUCAUCUGGCAUACCGGACCCCACUCCCUCCACAUUUUCACUCAAGCCCUCUAUUGAACUCAAAAUUCAUUCGUUUACCCCUCUUUUCUUCACGUGUCAGUCUGUGACGUGCUUGUGUCGAACGUUUUGGGUGCACCUGAAUACACUUUAGAAUUCCGCACCCAUUAUAAAACAAACAGGUCAAUCGCGUCCUUCCUCUGCCGUACACGUGGCGCACGUGAACAUAUGGUUGUGACACCAAUAAUUCACCAGGCAGGCCCAAGUAAGGAGUUCAGUUUUGACCACACAAAACCCACAAACGGCUCAAACUGAACUCAUCCAUAACACACCGAAGCCAAAGGCCGUGUUUGGUGGAGGCUCCUUUUUUUCUUUUCCCUUUUUUUUUCCUUAAAAAAAAAAAAGAAAAAAGAAAAGCUUACAGUUUAUUUAACUUGUGUAAUAAUAUGCGAGCAUGCUGUUUGGUUGAAGACAAGAAAAUCGAAACGAGGUUGCGACGGAGACCACUGACCUGAUUCCUAUUUCAUUGUUGUAUAAUAAUACUAUAAUCUGUGUUUAAAGAGACAAGAGAAAGAGUUUAAAUAAUACUUUCCGCAAUAUUGUGGUAUUAAUUAAUUAAAUUACUAUAAAAUGAAUUUUUAGUUUCAUUGAGAUAAGCACUCUUAGGAUGAAACGGCGGCAAAAAGUGGGAUAUAAUUGGAAGAUAAUAAUGAUCAUAGGGUAGGAAUACCACACCGAAUUGUCACUUCGAAUGAUUAACCGGCCUAGGUGAUGUGGAUGCCUAUGGUCCUUAAGACAUUAUCUCAAACCUCUUCGGAAAAAAAGUGGUUUAGCUUGGAUUUUUCCUGCUUUGUUUAGGGUAGCCAUAGACGAUAGGGCAUAGCCAUUAUCUAUAUAUAACUAUAAAACGCAGAAACUAUUGCAAUUUGGUCAAAAAGUUGUUUAAAAAAAGGUUAAGGAGAUGCAACCCCAACAAAAUUUCGUUAAUAAUUCGCCUUAUCGUGAAAGAUUAUGUGUGACCCUUCUCUCUUUUCUAAUAGUUUUAUCGUAAUUGGGAACACUCAAUUAGCUACUAAUAAACAUACUCGAUGAAAGUUAAAGUUGUCUAAUUUAUUCAUAUUAUUAAACUAAGUAACACUUAAACGAUAGAUAAAAUAAAAGAGUGGCUUAUAUGUAACUGAAUAGGUGAAAUAAAAAAGUGUAUAUAUCUUUUUUUAUAUCUUAAUCACAAGAUAUCCUAUAGAGAGCCCCAGCUGUGGGAAGCACCUUUAAACCCGUACCACAAUUCAGACUACAAGUUCCCGCUCGAACCGGGAAGCACAGAUUCUCCCAACAAAGGCGACUUCCCUGCGACUCAAACUGGGGAGCAAACCCAGUCAAGCCACUUAAGGGGACUCCAUUGCCAGUAAAGCUAACACUUUGUUGGUAAAAAAUGUAUAUAUCAUGUUGGCUAAUAUUACAUUUUAGACUGAUAAUAUAAACUUAAGAUAAUACUUAACUCACAAACCAACUUCUAAGUUUAAGUUAGGCUUAUGAGCAUUUAGAUUUUACUCCCACCACCGAUAUUGUGUGGAGAUGUGUCUUUCCUUUUAUAAGGAAAUUAAAAUGAAUUCUCAUAAAUUGUGCAAUUUGAUUUUUUUUUUCUCCCAAUUAUUUCGUUUUGAGCUUACACAAUACAGCGUGCUGUAACAGAGCUCUAUAGACAAGAUUCCAAUAAAUUGUACUGCAGUUAUUUAAAAAAUGAUAAAGAAAUUACUUUAUAAUGAAAGCCAUUUGCGGUGAAGUUAAAGGAUGUUAUUAUAUGGAAAUAAAAAAGCCUAGGAAUUCAGGUGAGAGAAAAUAAAACAAACUCCAACUUACAUAACUCGUUUCUGUUAUCUCUCUCUCCCUCUCUAUCUCUUUCGAUGUCAAGAAUAUUAAUGGUCAUUCAUGGAAGUUGCUUCCAUUUUGAAAUCCUUGAAGUAAAUGAAUUUGAGGCUGAAACACAAGCGUAAAAUGUUGCUUUGACCUUAUGCUGAUGAUCUAAAAUAUCGAUUGUGUAUUGCGAAAGACUAAGAGAUGCUGUGAAAGAAACAGAAACUUCAUUCCAUGGCCAAGCUUUUGUUUUCAAGGCAACCCUUCAAUGAACAUACAUACUUGUUUCAAAGAGAGGCAAAUACAGAACAAAGAAGAGAGUGUAAAAGAAUAAAGAAUGUUAUAUGAGCAACCAUGCAUAGAGCUUAAUUUGUUGAUUGAUAUAUAUAUAUAUAUAUAUCAAACUUUGUAAUUCAAAAGAUAUAUCUAGUAUAUAUAUCGAUAUUAUAGCUAAGCUAGCCCCUCAGGACUUAGUGAUACAAAAAUUGUUUCAACUCUCCGAUACUAUCCGCUGCCGCUAUUUACAAUCCACCAAAAAGGGAAAAAGAAAAAGAAAGCCCUCAAGGCCGAAGAGAGACAGAGACUCAUUAAUCAUGCCAGCAAAGAAGCAUGACGACGCAUCUCCUUAUAAUGUAAAGCUUAGCCCUUUGCUCUCUCAAGACUCCUCCAAACCCUCUGCUUGAUAAUGAUCUUCUCUUUGAGGCUCCCAUGCUAGCACUGCUCAUCUUCAUGGUUUUUUGUUAUUCCGAAUGAGAGAAAAGAGAUUAGAGAGAGAGAGCUUAAUUUGCCCUUUGGUCUUCUCUUAUUGUGAUGAGUUUGGUUUGAAUAUAGAAGUGGGAAUGUGAAGCUGGGGGGCUUCUUAUAGUAAGAAGAGGCUGUGGUGAAGGCUCAAAUUGGUCGUUUAAAGAGGCAACGAUGGGGCAUCAAAGGGCGUGCAAGUGCCCCCUAACUCACCACAAAUUUCUAUUUUGACCCCACACAGCACACCCACUUGGAAAAAAAUAUUGUACAGUUAUAAAAAUAUUGCAAAACAAAAACGAGACCUCUCUCUCUCACCAUCUCUCUCUUAAUUUAUUUAUCAUACAUAUGGUCAUGUCAUACUCUAUAGCCUAACUCCUAGUAGGCAUCAACAACCAGCAUAAUGGGUCGGCCAUUACUUCAAUAAGGUAGCCAAUGUCUAUAGUAGUUUAUGGACUCCCUUUCAAUAUCUUGAUGAUAAUGUGAAUUUUAUUUAUUUAUUUUUGGAAACACUUGAUGAUAAUGUGAUUAGAUGAUAAUGUGAUUAUGCUUUGAUGAUGAGGCCCUUCUUAUCUUUUUUCCAAAUUAUCUACCUACUUAGGCAAAAGAGUUCUUUAAUUAGUUGAAUCCUACGUAACCAUGCAUAUAUAUUUUAACCGCCUUUUAAUUAAGCUUGUUUAAAGGUGAUGAUGACAUGACAUUGAUUAUCUCUUUGACUCCAAUAUAAAGAUGCUGUCAUUUUCGUUCCUCUCUGGUGUGUUUAAUUUUCAUUUUUCUCUUUUUUUUUUUUUUUUUUUUUUUUUUUUUUUUUUUUUUUUUUUGUGUGUGGAGCAUCCUUAAUGAGUUUAUUCCUAAGUUUGUAUAAUGAAACAAGAACAUGACUUCUAUUAAUCAAUCCGAAUGUAAACCAAGGCCAAAAAGUUUUUUUUGGGUCUGACUCCUUAUCAACAAGGAAUAUAAUUAAGUGCAGGUUGGCUCUAUGUCUAUGUCUACGAAAAAUAUCUCACUAUAUCAGAAAAAUCGUAAUGUUUAAUUAUUUCCUUCAGCUAUAAGAUCAUUAUCUCCAUGUAAAUAUUCUUGGGAGUUCUAAAUAUUUGACUACACUGAAAUAAUGAGCUUGAAACGCACAUUGUGCACGUUGGAUGGGCAUGAAUACUUAUAAAGAGAGUAACGAAAAUGAUAUUACAGUGUAAACUUGGAAGCAGACAAGAUGAGAAUAAGAUCUCACCGACAUUGUAAUUCUUAAGAUCUGCCAGGAAUUUGAAUCUAUUUUACAUCUGGCUUAACGUAGGUUGAAAUUUUCAUCGAACAUUUGACAGAGUGGUCACAGUGAUGCUCAUCACCAGCUUUAUAUUUAUCUAUUCAUUUGCACAUAUCACAAUCAAAAUCGCACCAUGCAUGCGAGAGUUUGAUGCCACUUUGCUAUGAACAAAUCAUACACAAUAACAAACAUAGAUUGAAUCUUCAGAGCAAUCUAAAUCACACUGUAUAUACAUGUAGACGAGUCUCAACUAAGAUUUUUUUUUUUUUUCAUGAAAUUGUUCAAUAAAACAAAGCUGUGUGUCUCGAUUUAUUUUCUUUUCAUUUAUCUCAUUAUUAUUAUAAUUAGUCGAUACUAAAGUAAGUGUAUGAUAAAAUUUUAUUAGAUGUACUUAAAUUUUAAUUAUGAUUUAAACUGCUUUAAUGUGCUUUUAAAGAUCAUAUACUGCUCGUUUAUUUACUCAUUCGCGACUAAAUAAUAUAUAUAUUGUUCAAGAAAAAACUAUGUCGAAAUUAUGUAAUAUGCAAGUUACACUUAAGAUUCCCUUUGCACUAUAUUUUACAAUUAAAAAGCGGAAAAAGGAGAAGGAGAGAGUGAAUUGAGGAGAGGAUGAAAUUUCAAGGCUAUGACCAAGAUUCCACUUUAAUAUUACAAGAACAAGCUUAUUAAAAUUAACGUUAAGAGCUCAAAGCCCAACCAAAGUGACUGAUUAAUUAGAGUACAGAGGAUAAUUAAAAAUCUUACUUCAUCAAAAGCAAAGCACCACUUGCUUGGUCUCGUGCUUCACCCAUUUAGCUUGUGGACAUUGUCGUUCUAAUAAAAUAUCUCAUAAUGAAUUUGUUCUGUUCUCUCUUAUUAGUUUGCAAGUUAAUUACAAGCUGUCAAUUCGUCAUUUCAGUAGCUCUGGCUCACCAAUAUCAGCAUUUUCUUGCCUUAGUCCAUCCAUUUAUUUAUUUAUUUUAUUUUCUUUAAGUGUAGACAAGAUUUUUAGAUGCUGUAUAUUUUGUUUGUUAACAACUCAUAAAACAUGUCUCAUGAAUGUUGUUUCAUUGAUUCGAAUUAUGGGAUUAGUUACUUCAGUUAAUUAAUUUUUACGACCGACCCUAACUAUAACUAUAAGAUCUUGAUAAUCAAAUUGUCUAGAAUUGAAUGUGAUUUGUAAGAUUAAUUUAUUUUUUAUUUUCUGAUUAUAACUUGUAAGAUUAAUUAGGAUUACAAUAACACGAUCAGAGCAAUAUUACAUUUAUUCGUAUAAGCAUGUUAGCAAAUAUAUAGCAUAGAAAAGGGUCAUCAAAAGAGUUUAAUUUUGUGGUCACACAGCGGUUGCUUCCAUGCAGAAAAAUAAAAAUAUAUUAGAUGAUCGUGGAGUGUAAAACACCUAAAAGCUUUGGGAAAUCGAAAAAGCUUAGAGACAGUAUUAAUAAAAAUAACAAUGGUAAUUAAUUAGUCUAUGAAAUGCACCGUAAUCAAAGUGUUACAGUCUUAGAUUGAAGUGUCUUAUAUGUUGGGUAAGCACUAAGCAGUAGUGCAUCUGUUUUUAUUAUAUAAUGGCCUUGGACCCCUGGUUGUACUGAACAAGAAGGCCAGAGCUGCACGUGAAGUUCUCGUGGUUUACAAUGCCACUGCCUCUGAUACACUCAACAAUUUUAGUAUUUGUUAUCUUAUAUCGAAGCUUCAAAUCAAAUUAUUUAUCAGUUGCUCCCAUCACCUUCUAUAUUUGUUCAGUUUCUUCUUUGGUCCUUCUUUAUUAAGCAACUUCAUUUCUUCCCACAUGCAGUGUGUGCUUCAAUAAUUCAACUGGGGGCAUGAAGUUAGCAUUUUUCGAAAUUUUCUAAGUUGAAGUAACAAGUGAGUGAUAGUACAGUUGUAUGAGUUAAUUACAGCCUCAAUGCCGUACUAAGAGAGAUAUUAAUUGUCAGGUCAAACUUGUGCGUAUGUGGACUCCAUUGCCAGCAAGGUUAUUACUGCCAGCUUAUGUGCUUGUUAAUAAUGUACUGAAGAGUUUAACUUACUCAAGAGGCACAUUAUUGUGAUUUUUUCUUUUAUAUACUGAUGUAUUACAAUCAGAGUAUAAUUGAUAUUAAUAAUAAAAAAUGAGUCGAGACUCUCCUUAAUAAUUUUAUUAUAGCACAACUUAAAGAUUAACCCUCAUUUAAUAUUAGAGGGAGAUUUAUUCUAUCUUAAAUGUAAGGAGAUAAAUAAACCCCUACAUAAAAGGUGAGUCGAGUCCCAAAAAUAAAUAUUAGGUACAUAGGUUGCCAGUGGGCUAGAAGCCCAUUGGAUACAUUAUUGUGAUUAGUGAAAGAGUUGCAGUGUCAUCAGUGGCUAGUAUGAGACUGUAUAAUGCUUGGGCUCCAUCAACGACAAUUAUGAAAUGAAAGCACUAGUUGUCAAGUGAAAGUGGAUAGAUGUUUAAAAAUCCUAGCUCCUCAAGUUGAAUAAGCGCAACUUAGUCACUUUUAAUUUCCGAAACAAAAUUGUUAGUGUCCAGUAAGCACUUUAAAAUUUGGUUUGGAAGUGCCGAAAACUUUAACUACUUAGCCUUAGAAGCACCAUUCCGAGCCUUAUUGAAUGAGAGUUUUUGGGACUGGUGUAUUGUCCCAUGUACAAUUAAAGUCCAUGCAGCGGAUGGCAACCUUGCUUGCUUGAUCUUCAUGUAAGUAUGGCCUAAAUACAAGCAGAGUCCCAUAGAUUAGAAAAUACCGGGGUUCUCCCAACAAACUACAAGAUGUUUGUAGAUUAGAAAUAUUAACAAUUCAGAGUCCUACAACAGAUUAGGCAUUUUCAGGGCGGUUUCUGAUGAAAUUUAAAACCAGGGGAUCCAUUAGAAUUUAAAUCUUACAAUGUACGUCACAUAGUACAACAUUCCAGGUUACCACGCAAGGGAGCAUCAAGAAAACUGGCGCAAGAUGAGAAACUUUGAUGCUUCAUGGCAGUUUCUGCUCAUUUAGGAUGAUUAUUCUAUAAACUUAUCAUUAAUGAAGGAGUUCGCACGUGCGUUCAAAGAGUUCCAGGUAUGUUGCUAUAAGGUUCCAGCUAGUUUCUUACAUUUCAAGUCAUUCCGUUUACUCUAUUCCAUUAGAACAGUCGGUUCAAAUUAAUACACAAAAUUUACAGAAAGAGAAAAAUUGAAUAUGUGUAUUUACAGUGUUCAUUCCUCUCUUGGGAUCCACCGGCUCCACCAUAGACUCUUUUGGCGUAUGUUAAACUCAUCCAUGCUCUCAUUCAGUGUCCUUACAAUCCUUCUCUGCAGUUUAAGGGCUGAAGCAAGAGCGUUUCUCUGAGCACUUCCCUUCCGCAGCGGCUUUAUUUCCUACACAACAAGGAACAGAAUGGUGAAAUAUUGUUUACUUGCAAUAUUCACGAUGAAAUUGAUAUUCGAGCAUAGUUCAGACACUGACUCUCAGCUCCUGAAGCUGGGCUUCUGUGAAGCCACCUUCCUUCUCUGUUCCCGAUUUUGCCAUUCGCUGAAUUACCCACUCGGCAGCUUCACUGUAAUCCUGUUGUGUGGCUCGGAAGAAUUGCAACCGUAGGUUCUGCAUGAAGGACAAAGCUAAUAGCCCUUCCCUAUCAAAGUAGGGAUGAGCUAGAGCUGUUUUUGCACUGAUUCUUUGCCGUGCUUUGUAUCUAACCAUCGAAGUCAAAAGUUCCCAUCCUAUGCCACCAUCUAUGUCUAACAAUUGAAAGCCCUUGCGGAGAUCAGGGCUGGCACGAGGCUCUACAGUUUUCCUCCAUGCGCUCAAGUCAUAGUCACACCUCUUCAGCUGACGGUUGAAUUGUAUGAGGCCACUGUCUGUGCGUAGUCCCGGGAAUGCCUAUAAAAAUGAAACAGUUACAUCAUGUAGUAAGCUAAAUCAGCAAAAUCCUGAGGUUUGCCCAAAGCAGCCAUGUAUUAUCCAUAAAAGUUAUAUUUGGUGUAACUAGGGAAUAGCCAGUUGGUCUACCUCUUGCAGUGGAAGCAAGAGAUCGGGAUAGAUUCCCCCUCACACCAACCUUAGUGGGGGAAGUUCUUUAAUUUGUGUUGUGCACAGGAUGGGGUGGAAUUAGGGUGUGCGAAAUGCAAAAAGAAUGAACAAAUAAAAUCUGAAUCUAACUCGGGCAAAUAUGGCGGAAGUCCACUGCUAUUUCCAGAGCUAAUGUUAAAGAUAGGAAUUUACGGUCUCCAUAUGUUUAUAAUGCUUACGAGUUUAAUCAGUAGAAUUAUUCAAGGACUUCCAAGGUUUUAUACAUCCUAUUUAGUUUCUAUUAAAACUUCAAAAUCUAAAACCCAAUGGCUAAGUUGUAGCUGUUUUAUCAUACAGUAUGUUUUCUACGAAGUGUAUUAACAGCUGGUGAUAGCCUAAAAGUGAAAGACCAAGAUCAAAACUAAGACCAACUUAUAAGAGUUCAUAUAAAAGUUACAGUGAAUAAGCCAAUGGACAAGAAUGUAAACAGAGCCUUCUGACAGUACAUACCAUUUGCAGGAAUAUAAGGCCAGCACUGUAGAUAUCAAAUCUAUCUGGCAAAUUGAGCUGUUAAAAGAACAAUAUGAUCAAAUCUAACAAGAAGGACAACUUUCAAUAAAUAAAGCCAACUAAUGACAAUAGACUUGGGAUGUGUCACGGUGAACACUGCACCUGCCAGAGGACGGGAGAAAGUGCAGUUGCAACCGGAGCUGAGGGAGCAGAGGGAGUCUGUGUGCUCAUGAUGUACUGCUCUGGUGCAGCAUACCUGAAAGAAAGAAGCAGUAGAAGGUUAUGAAUCCUAUAUGAUAUAGAAACUUAGAAACGUCACACCAAAUUCAGUGGGGUAUCAAUUUGGGUAUCAAGUAAAGAUUUUACUCCUGAGGGCAUAUUGAACUCAAUGCAGGUGCUGGUUUUAAGAACUAAUUCUAAAUAAUGGUAAUAGUUGUGUCGGUUGAAGGAAAUGAUAAUAGCAUAUCAGUCUCAUUUUCGGCUAUAAUUCUAUUUCUUCAUAGUUGCAGGGAACUGGGUGUCACUUAAAUGUAACUGAAAAUGGUUGUUAUUUAAACAUGGUUUACAUCAAACCAAUAUUCUGUUUUAGAAUGACUAAAAGGAGAAAAAAAAAUAGAAAUGCUUGGCACUGAUAAAAAAUUUCAAGAACUGGUUCGUUUAGACUUCUGAUAAAUUUUAUAUAAGCCAUUAUUCUUCCAUUUUUGGUCCAGAACUUGAAAUGAUUCAACCAUAUUUCAUAGCAAUUAACUAAGUCGAUAUAAUCUUUCAAAUGCCUAUUUCAAACUAGGGCAGUUUCAAUUUCAUACAGAACCUACUUUAUGUUUUAUUUGGUUAUUAUGACAACUUUCCACAUUCCAGACAGAACCUGCCUUUGAGUGAUUAUGCAAUAUCAGGUGAAAAGCUUUGUUAAGUCCGUCAUUUUUGUUAGCCAUUUGUAUGCCUCUUCGGGGUUUAAGUGCAAAGAAAAAUUGCUUUUAAGAAUAAUAAAUUUUCAAAGUCAUGCAUGUCUGUACCCUAUUCAUUACAGAUUAUGAAGAUGUAUCUUGAACAUCAAUCAUUUCUCUACCCAUGAAAUACUUGCUUAAAUUUGGACUUCUGACGUUGAAAAGUCGGAAGAUGCAACAUGCUACCCGCUGCAGCAACAAAUUUAGAACAGUUUUGCUGAACAACUAAAUCUAUCCAAGACAAAAGGGGAUGGCCACAGAUAAUCUCUAGGAAAAAGCCAUCAUAAAUAUUCUAGCAAUUAGAAUGACUGAACUAUUAACAGCUGGAAAAUCAACAAAGAUUUAUUUAUUUGAUAAAGAGAUUCAAUUGCUGAGAGUGAAGGCAUUCUCUUGGGAGAAUCCAACCAGCUUACUAUACGAAGAGACGAGGGCCCUAUUUACUUAAAUUACAUGAUAGGAAAGAAAAUACCUAGGAUCCAAAAGAAAUUCCUUCGGAAUAUAGUUGAUGCCCACUCGCAGAUCCGCUGCAGCUCCAAGAUCAAUGAUCUUGAAUGUACGUGAACCUGCCCAUGUUUAAAUGGUUAUAUAAAAUUAUCAAUCAUAGUAAAAUCAAACUAAUCCAAUUUUUUUCUUUGCCUUCCAGAGAGAUCAAAUUUAUUACCUUCAGAGAAAAUAACAUUCUGUGGCUUAAUAUCCCUAUGCACAAUGCCAGUCGAAUGAAGACCAUCCAAUGCAAAUAAGAUCUGGCUCAUGAUAGUUUGAAUGAUUCUAUUUUCUCUUUCAAUUCCUUUAGGCAAGUCUUGGACCUCACCAAGAAUCAAUGUUUGUACCUGGCAUUUUAAGCAUCACAAGAGUUGGUAUUUGGGAAGCUAAACUGUAACAAGAGUUACUGCAGAAUUGUCAAGAUAAGAAUAUGUGGCAAAGCUCACACAAUUACUCUUUAUAUACAUAUAAAAAAAAAUAUAUAUAAUAAUAAUAAUAGCAGUUGAAAAAGGAUUUGAAUUUUAAGGUCCUUCCUCUCUAAAUAGUAAAAGAGGACUUAAGAAUAACAUUAAAACAUAAGGGAAACAGUCUCCAAGUGGCUGGAUGGAAAAUUUUCCUUGCAAGUAGAAAGAUCAUUUUAUCUAAAUUUCAUUGGAAAAGACAAGAUCAGCAGAAAGAAUCAAAGAUCUAUAGUUGGCGGUAUGGUUCAUAACAUAAAAUUCUCAGACUGACAAGGCAUGGUAAGUUUCACCCAAAAAAAAAAAAAAAGAGGAUUUAAACUCAUGCAAGAAUAGUUUCAACCACUUAUACAAUACACAAAGGCUGAUGGGAGGAGAGUACCAACAUUGUAGGGGAACUCUCUGCUUAUCAUCAAAUCUGCAAGUGUGGCCUCUCCUUCAUACCGCCAUAUAAGCCAGUAUUCACCUCCUUUUUUCGAAGAAUUCUAAAACCAAUUUCAUCAUAACAAUUCCGGUCACAAGGAAGAAAAAGAAAACAGAAAUUAUCAUGUGCUGUCAACGUACAUAUUUUCAUUUCUUGAGAUGAUAAUACCCUUAAUUCAUAUGGUAGAAGUAGUCAUAAUAGAGCAAGACCUCAAAAAAGCCGUAUACAAAAUCAGCACAGCAGUUUGCACAAGCUCUUCGAACACGCUCAUUCAUCCAAAUUUCCACUGCACCAUAUUCAGUAGCCUUCUUCAAGACCAAGUCACCAUCAUUCUAAUCACAACCAAAAAGCAAUUAGCACACACUAAUUCACAGUAAAUUAAGUAAGGUUUGCUAUUAUUUCCAUGUUUGGUAAAACCAAUCAAACAGAAUCAAUUCACUAUUGACGAUAUAUUGGGCAUAGAAUCCACUGAAGUUCAACGUAAAUAAGUUUUGGUUCCAACUUAAACCAACCAAAAGGAUAAACAUUAGUUCAAAGGAAAUUUGAACAUACCCAGAAGCAACAAUGAAAGUAGGAAAAUCAAAAGUUUCUACCUUGGAAGAAGGCUUCUUAGCCAAGGAAGCUCUAUAAACAACGCCAAAAGCUCCCUCACCCAACUUUUUUCCCAAAACAAAAUCAUCCUGCCAACAAAAACCAAAACGAUUAACGUUCAAUAACACAAAAUCUAUCAAAACUUGCAGAAUAAGCCAAAAAUUACUAACCUUCCUAUAAGUGGUUCGAAAUAGCCUUUCGACAAAAGCAAGCACAAACAUGUCAAAAAACCCAGGAGCCACGCCGGGGGUGGCCCAGAGAUAAGAAAUAGCACUAAGAGCCAAAGCCACACCAGGUGCAGUAAUUGUCAGACCAUUGGACUUAGGCAAAGUGCUUCUGUAUAUGAUAUCACCACACUCCAUGACUGUGCAUGGCAAACCCACUCCCACACCCAGAAACACAUCGCGAACUGUAUCAAUCAGCUCAGCUUUUGUCGUCAAACUUGAGCUAAUAUUGUUUUUUGAAAAGGGUUUGAUUAGUACUAGCCUUUUUCCAAGAAAUGGAGAUGACGGGGGCUUUGAUUUUGGAGUACUUCGGCGAUUGAUUAGUACUAGAGUAGCACUUCCUGAUGCAACCGUGGCCAUGUUUCUGCUGCAGAGUGAGGCUCUGCUCGCGUUAAUUUGCUGACUCGCUUACUUGGAGAAACUUCAAAUUCAGACCACAAGUCUCUGUGAGUUUUUGCUAGAUUUUUUUUUUUUUUUUUUUAAUUUUCAUUUCUGUUUUCGGCCUUCAUGGUGAUAGUUAUUACAGGUAUUUUUUGUGGAGGGAAAUUGCUGAAGUGGAUUGCAGAGACACGUGCACCGCAAAUGACACGCAAACAUUAAAUAAAGUUGGGCUAGGCUCGAUUUGGGCUAACGAUGUGAAUUAUUCCACUAGAGCGGCUAGGCUGGACUGGCUGAAUUUGAAGGCCUGAUUUGGAUCUGAUCUACAUCCAUUUUUAAGAUCUUGACCCAACAAUGUUUUACAUUUUUUUUUUAAUUUUUUUUUAACUAACAAUUUUCAAUGCUUUUCAUUUUUGUACUACAAGUAUUCAUUGUACUUCUUAAUUUUUAGGUCUUCAGUAGAAUAAACAGUUGAAUUUUGUGUCAAAAUUGUGUAAGUUGAAAUUAUUCAUGCGUUGACAAUAAUUUUAAUUUAAUUCCCUCUCAUGUACCAAAGCAAUGUAGCAAAUUAAUUUUAUCAGUAGAGAGUGAGUGAAAUUGAAGAUUGCUUUUGAAUUCGCAGAAAAAAUUGACGCGCAAUCAAAGAGAAAUUUUUGGUUUGACUCAAGGAUCUUAUUAAUAAUUGGUUAAACUCCUAGAAUAUUGCUCUUUGUUUAUUCAAUCUUUGUCCCAUGAGUGUUGAUAAUGGAUUUAGAUUUAGUACUGAACUAGAUUUAUAUCAUAUUAAGAUUAGUAGUUAUUUAAUAAGAAAUAAUAUAAUAAACUACACAAAUGAUAGAAUGUUAUAAGAAAAAAUAAGUACAACUCAACUCAGUGCUAUAUAUAAAUUGUUUAUAAUAUUCGUGUUUAAAUAGCAAAGAGUUUCUCGGUUACUUAAUUAAAUGCCGACAACCGUUUUUUUAGAACCGAUGAGCUUCGGAUGGCCGUGGCCUGCCUAUGAGGAAAUAGUGGGGUAAGCUGGAAUCUGACAAGGAGAAUUCUAGGCUGGGGCUUAUUUUGUCCGCAUUUAUUGGCCCAUCCUCGUAGCUCGCCUCUUAGGGAAAUAAAUUUGGACCAUGAAGCAGCCUGAAAACGUGUCUUGAAUCCCUAGCUCAUUUCCAAUUUGAAGGGAUUUCUAAUUUCUAACAGAAGAAAAAAGCUUUCAGGCAGAAAACUCACCAUUAUAACCUAUCCCAAUUCAGUAACCAGUACGCACUUGCAAUGCGCCAAGAAGGGCCCAUGCAUUUAUAAGGACGCCGUAAUUUGCUUGUUGCAACCUGCAGCUUUCCCACGUCUUGGGUCCUUCGUCACAAUUGUUGCAGCAUGUACCAUUGAGAUUUGAGCUAGCUAAAAAAAAAAACAUGUAACUUAGGGCAAUUUUAGACACUGUCAUUUGGUUCUUUGGCGCGCGCACCCACUUAUACACUAUAUAGUAGCACAACCCCGGUCAAUUAUCAAUCAUUUGCUGAUUUUUGGAAAAAGAUAAAGCGUAGCUACGAGUGGCAAGAUGAAAUUUUUGAUGGCCUCCAUUUGUCAUAUUGGGAUCAGAGAAUCCACAUUACAUGUACAUACAUCAUCUAGCAAACAUACAAACGAACUUUAAUCAAAUAAUGUAUGGAGAAAAAAGAAAAAAAAAAAAGGAAAAAUAGAAAAGCGAAAGUAGAACCACCUAGAUUGAAACCUUCCACACCCCUUUUCCUAUUAAUAUUAUCAACAAACCAAACAAAACAAAAACGCUCUACAUACAUCGAUCAUCAUCGAAUCUCCCAUUCUCCCACCUACUACUAGUGCCACUCACACCGCUACAUUUACCACAUACAAAUGCAUGCAUGCCGAUCGUCAUCAAUUGAUCAGCUAGCGAUCAUCAGUCCUUCCACGAUCCACCCACCGAAUCACAGCCCUUAAUCACGCCCCUCUUUAACGGCCCCUUGUUGUCGUAAACCCCGAAACUCCCCUUUUUUUAUCAGCUAUCAGAGAACAAGGACUUGUGACGAAACAGGUCAUACGGGGCCCACAACGAAUCCAACGGACACGGCUUCUUCGAGUCAAUCCUCAGCCAGGGCUUCCCUUUGCCACUCCAGUGAAGCAAACUCACUGGACCCGGGUGCAGAUUCCUACACAGGCCUUCCAGAUUGUCCCCGCCAAGCCCGUGCUGGUUCCACCUGUGCUCCACGCCUUCCACGUCACCUGCAAACACGAGCAGAAACGGAGGCAACGAACCCAGCUCGUAAAUUCUGUACUUCUUUUGCACUCUCAUCCAGUACUCCAAUUUCUCUGUGUACCUUCCUUCUCUCCAUUUCCUCAAAUCAAUCACCAUCACUCCCGUGUUAAAAUAACACGGCCUCCUCCCUUUAACGGUCCCGGAAAACACAGGGUUCGACCAGAACUUUGACGUGAAAUAGUUGGUAAAGUUAGCGUGACAGUACUCCGGCGCACCAAGCACGCGUCCUCUCAAAUUGAUGCUCCACAAUUUUGCCACGUCAUCGACCACUAUGAGGUCCGAGUCAAAGUAAAUAAUGCGGCCAACGGUCAACGGCAAAAGAUCGGCCAGGUAGAUUCUAGCGUAAUUCAACGGCUGAUCCAACGCUUGACGAAUCGAGUACGAGAUCUUGCCUUUCACUAGAUUGGUGUCGAAGCGAUAGAUUUCGAAGUUUAGGUAAGGGAAUGUGGCGGUGAUCGUGCGGCUCAGCUCGAGUCGCUGCCGCUGCGUGCUGAUGAAGUGGAAGACGAUGUUUUCGGGACACGUGGCGUGUUGAAGGACGGAGAAGACGCCGGCGACUGAGCCGCGGAGGUACGUCGAGUCGAGAGUCAUGGAUAUGUGGAUGAUUGAUGGAUUGUGAGAUCUUCUGUCCAGCGCAGACCAUGUCGCUUUCGGACAUUCUCUGCCGUUUCGAAAUGCCGGUGCUUCUCUAAACCGAGGAAGCUCGCCUGAGAUUGCGGGGAAAAUUAUAGUAAAAAAUAUCAACAAACGAGACUCAAAUUUUAGUCUCAUAGUGAAGUGCGAGCAAGCAAGAGUGAGAGUUUUUUUUUUUUUUUUUUCCCUUUUUUUUCUGGGUUGUGAGGCUUUUGUUUAGACAAAAAUGAAAGAAAGAUAAGGGGUGAGAAGGAAUAGAAGGACGGAGUGAGAGAGUGUGGACCAAGCCAGGCUGGCAACGACGCGUUCUUUAUCUUGUCUUGUGAGAUCAUAUGUGUUCACAAGAAUUAAAUAGACUGUGAUGAUCCUGUGGUGGUGAUUGCACGUUAUGGAUAUCUGUCACCGUACCCUGAGAUCCGUACAUCAGAUGUUAUUUAGUGUUAAAUUACUGGGGUCACUAACGACACAGCGGCACCAGCGGUGGUGAUUUUACUACAAUUUGUAAUUAACGUGAGGGUGUCGGUAUAGAACAAAGAUGUUCUCAGACGCAACUUUACCUCGUGUACGCACGGUCUAAUUCGAAAAUCGGGUAACAGAAUGAAGGCGAAUGUUGCUUAGAGCAACAGAAGAGUGGAAUGUGAUGUUCACGUGGCAAUUUGUGAGUAGACAUACGGUACGUGAUCGUAAUCAAUGUGUCGUACCUACCGUCUUAUUCAGCAAUUACCCAUGUCUCGUAAAUUUUUGUCGCUAAUUAAUUAAGGUCGCUUGUCAGGUAAAUUAGCUACUCAGAUUGAUCCACACCGUUGGAUCAGUUUUGAGGAAUGUGACACCGUAGAUGGGGAGAUUCAUUU
rnacentral:lncRNA from 1 species